rnacentral:snoRNA from 1 species
AGGGCAUUCAAAGUGGACUUUGAGAGGGGAAACCAGGUACUCUUAGCUCUGGGACCAAAGAUUGAAGUUGUCCAUGGGAUAUCAUAGUCGUUCAACAGUGCUUUUCAAGAAGACACAAACUU